ensembl:lncRNA
GUCAAAGGUGGUGAUCCUUCCCCCCUGCUCAGCCCUGGGGAGGCCACACCUGGAGUGCUGGGUCCAGUUCUGGGGCACCCAGUACAAGAGAGACAUGGACAUACUGCAGACAGACAUGUACCAUGAAGAUGCUGCAGGGCCUGGGAGUCCCUUUCCUGUGAGGAGAGGUGGAAAGAGCUGGGCCUGCUCAGACUGGAAAAGAGGGGGCUCUGGGGGACCUCAUCAAUGUCCAUAAAUACCUGAAGGGACAGGAGAAAGAGGACAGAGCAAGGCUUUGUUCAGAGGUGCUCAGUGCCAGGACAAGAGGCCAUGGGCACAAACUGGAGCACAGGGGUUCCCUCUGAGCACCAGGCAGCACUGCUGUGCUGUGCCAUGCCCGAGCACCAGGCCAAAGCACCAGAGGCCCUGAAGUCUCCUCCUUGGGGCCUGGGCCCCGCUUUGGGUGUCCCUGCUGGAGUAGAGGAGUGGUGUUGAAUAUUUGUGUUGCUGGAAGUGUAUGUGAGAGGAGAUGUAGAAAAUGUGGCAUCGUGGUUACUGGCAAGAUGUGCAGUGCCGAGGAGGAAAAUCUGAUGAGGAAUCCCCAGCAUCGUAAAUGGAUAAUGUGGUGUUGACUGGAGUGAGAAGCAGCAGCAUUUCCCAGCAAAGAGCACGCAUGCUGAGCUUCUGUGGCUGGUAAAACACAGCAGAUGACUUCUGAUACGUGCCAGUGUGUGAGGAGAAGGAAGCAUUUCCUGAGAGCAGAUAUGUGAAGAUAUUCAGAGCACAGUUCUGGAGUGCGUGGAGCAGUGAGGGGGAGAAGGCAGAUGUGAUGUGAUUCAAGGACUCUGGCUCAGCUGAUUGACCCUCCAUUUGACCGCGAUGUUGUGAGCUGAAGAGCAAUGAGAUUUGUAAAGCACCAAAAAUCAGAUCUAGUUUAUGAGUCAUGCCAGAGCUGUGGUCCUUGAGCCUGUGACUUUGAAUGAGCUAUUUUUCUCUUAGCUUCUAAAUCUGCCAGCCUGGCCAACAAUUAAACUCAGAGGAUUUAUGAAAAGCAGGGCUGC